rnacentral:misc_RNA from 1 species
GAUGAAGAACGUAGCGAAAUGCGAUAAGUAAUGUGAAUUGCAGAAUUCAGUGAAUCAUCGAGUCUUUGAACGCACAUUGCGCCCCCUGGUAUUCCGGGGGGCAUGCCUGUCCGAGCGUCAUUGCUGCCCUCAAGCAUGGCUUGUGUGUUGGGCCCCCGUCCCCGGUUCUCCCCGGGGACGGGCCCGAAAGGCAGCGGCGGCACCGCGUCCGAUCCUCGAGCGUAUGGGGCUUUGUCACCCGCUCUGUAGGCCCGGCCGGCGCCAGCCGACACCCCAACUUUAUUUUCUAAGGUUGACCUCGGAUCAGGUAGGGAUACCCGCUGAACUUAAGCAUAUCAAUAAGCGGAGGA